ensembl:lincRNA
AGUUGGUCUCUGAGGCGGCGGCGGUAACAGUUUCUCUCGGGAGGUCCUGCUCGGUCCGGGCGCCAUGCCUCUGGAUCGUCAGGUGGCCAUGGGGAACCUUGGCAAUCAGGACAUCCUGGCCAUCUUCUACCGCCUGCGCUUCGUGCUUAGCAACCACAUAGAGGCCGCCUGGCGAGCCCGGAACCCGGCAAUGGACGUGGGAGGAGGAGGAGAAGGCGCCCGGUUGGUCAACGGUCGUAUUCGCCCACGCGGGUUCUGAGUGACUUGGAGGACUGCUCGCCCUCGCCCAAUGCCUGGCAUAGGAUAUGACUGUCAAUAUUUAGCUCUACAAGAAGACAUGACAUUUACACACAAAAGGAAGACAUGAUUCAUUGGUUUUAAGUAAACACAACAUAAUGCAUCCUAAAAGUGCCUGGACUCUAGGGCUACCUGAUGGAGGACCCACCAUGACCCAUUAAUUCCCUAGUAAUUAACACAUGGAAUGGGGUACCAGUGAUGAAAAAUGACCACAAUUAACUCCCUUUCAAGACUCCUUCCCAGAUAUCUGAUCAGGACCAAGACUGGGAUCUCUGGGUCCGUAACAGUGAAACAUCCUCUCAUUCUCUUGGUUCUGCUUCUGUUGAGAGGCCCUGCUUAAAUCACUUUCUUCAGCUCGUUGAAAGCAGCAGGACAAAAAAGCACUGCUACUACCACAAAGGAAGCUGGGCCACUUACCUUUGAAGAUGGCUUGCACACCUCAUCUUUAAGUCUUUCCCUAAGAAUGGAUGGUGUGUUUUGACUGCAGUGCCAAAAGUCAGAGCUGGGCAAAUAUAACCUACAGGAUAUUUCUUUUCAUCAGUUGCUUGGAGUCACAUGGUGGUCACUAAAGUUUUACCUGUACGUCAAUGACCCCAUGAAGUUAAGAGACAGUUACUUUCAUAGCUGGGAUGACAGUGCCAACUGCUACUAGAAGGAGGAUGAGACACUUAGACCUCUGUAACAAAGUACAAGCUCUUCAGGCAAAUGUAAGCUACAGGACCAGGAAGCCAGAACUACAGACUGACGUGCCUUCUGCACCCUCCUUUCCAGCAUUCAGUUCACACACAGAGUGGCUGGCAGGUGAUGUGUGCAGUGUGCAGAAAGGUAGGUAGGGCCAGGACAUAAGUGAGCCACACUUGCCGGUCUGCUACUGCCUAGCCUACAGCCAGGCAGGGCUGGGCAGGAGCCAUCAGGAGCUUUGAUGCUCUGCUCCAGCUUUCAGAUGGAAAAGGAAGUAGAUUGCUCUCUGGGUCCCUCCUGAUGUAGGCACACUGUCUCACUGUUCUGGUCUCCCAAGGACCUUCAGCCACCAAGAUGUCAAGGUCAGUCAGGCAGCAGGGAUGAGAAGGCUUCAUGAAGAGGUCUACCAAGCACUGUUCUGGGUGCAGAAGACAUGCGGCCUGGGCGGUGCUGCAUCAGCCCAGAUGGAUUUCUAGAGUGCUGGGUCUGGCCAGCGCUGGCUGUGGCACCAGAAGAGCAAGACAGUGCCAGACCCAUUUGGAGCUGAGAGCAUCGAGCCCACCCUGCCCGCCCUGCUCAAGUCUUCCAUGGCUAUGUUGUGAAUGUGGUAUGAAAAACUCUGAAAAGGCCCAGGUGCUUCUCCAAACUGCUGGACCAUUUGGACACUUGCUCCACACUGAGAUGUGUUCUAACGAAGCUCUUCUAGGACUUCUCCUAGUUUUCCUCAUUCUAGGUUAAAAUGGGCACAUAACAGGUUUGUUCCCAUCUUCCCCUGUUCACCACACAUGCCCUGUCAUUUUUCUUUCCUCCCUAGGUUUCAAAUGUGGGAGCAAGAGUUUUCAGAGCCUACGUUCUCCAUGUUCAGGUCCAGUCCCUGUGCUUCUCCAUGGCACAUCAUUCUCCCUGUGUCUACUCUGCCUCUCACUGGAUAGAUGUAGGUGAGAGAUGUGCACCCCAGUACUCGCUGUUUUGGAUCCCAAACAUACAUCUACAUUGAUGGCAUAGCUAUGAGUGUAGCUGCCUUCCUCAUUCACCACAUGCCUGUGUUCAUUUUGUCAGUGGUGAGCGCUGUGCUGUGCAACCUUCUAACCUAGAUCUGGCCCCAGCAUCCUGAAGCAUAUGAGGCACCUCAGAGAAAAGGUCUAAAUGGGCCUUAUAAGAAAAUGAGAAUACUUUCUGUUGCAUUGGGUUUUGAGUCUUAAGUUACAGGCACAAAGCUGCAUGAAUUAAACAUUCCUAAAGUCUGUCUACUCAGCCUCUUACACUAGUCUGUCCACAGGAAAGGCAUUG